CCUGGAAAUGGCCCUUGAGGGGAAAAAUAAUGAAUGCAGGAAGCAAGACUAAAAACGUGUACAAUUACAUGAUUUAAAAGAUUUUGCAAGAAAACCCACCAUGGUAUCAAGCCGAUUAUCAGAAGACCAGCAAGUACAACGCUUUCCCGGGAACGUUUUGGUAAUAGGACUUUCAAACUAGCAACUUGAGUCAAAGCCUCCAGUACUCGUAAGAAGCCAUAAGAAGUUUCUCAGACUUAACGUGUGUGAAAGGAUACUAAAUCUUCCAUCUCCUGGAGGCUGAAUGGAAAAUGGAAAGGUUUAUUGUACUCUGUCACAGAGGCGGAACAUCUGUUGGAGUAGACAAGGGAGGAGGCCGUCCCAUCUUUCUUAUUGGCAUUCACCAAGGACUUCUGCUGGAUUUACUCCCACUGAAAGGUGGCAGCUUGUCACUUUCCAAGAUCGCAAGUUCAGGGAGGCAGCAAAUGGUUCCUGGCUAGAGGAAAAGGAAGUGCUUUGUCUUCUCCAUGCACUUGUACCUCAGUGUUGCAGUUUGCACAGUGGAUACAGAGGGAAAAUUCAAGAAGGGAUAAUACUGAAUGCUUUGGUAACAGCAUCUGAUGGAGUUCGGGAAGUCCAGUGCUGCUCCGUGGAAACCAACUUGUCCCUUCCAAGAUAUUUUUCAUCUUUCCAUAUAGCUUUGUCUCCAUGGAACAAGUGAAGUAACUCAAGUCAUAGAAUUGCUUGGCAACCCCUUCAGUAAGACACAUGAAAUGCCAAGUGGUUCUGUGUCCUUUCUUCAAGUGGCUGGAAUAUUAGUGCCUCUGUCUCACAGAUCUGGAUAGUGGGAUUCAGAGACCAGAUGAGUUCCCAGGGUGCAUAUGGGCAGGCAAUCCUUGAUUACAUAUGUCUGCAGGAGCUGGCAUCCAGGAGAGCGGCUG
rnacentral:lncRNA from 1 species